UAAGCAUGUGUUCACCCGAAAACUAGAAAACAUGCUUAACAAAUGUGGAGCUGGCUAAAAUUUCCAGGCAAAAUGCUGAGAGAGUCAGCAGAGUUUUGUUUUGUUUUCUUUCAAAAAAAAAUUUUAUGUAAUUAGUUAUAGGAAAUAAUACAGACGUCCCUUAUGCCCCUUUCCCCAGUUUCUUCCAAUGGCAACACACUGCAAAACUACAUGGCAGUAUCACAGCCAGGACACUGAGUGACACAUAGAGACGGAAAUGGUCUCCAUCACUGGAAGCACUCUUCAUGCUGCCCGAGUUUUGCUCCAUAGCCCAGGCUGGAGUACAGUGGUGCGAUCUUGGCUCACUGCAACCUCCACUUUCCCAGUUCAAGUGAUUCUCCUGCCUCCGCCUCCUGAGUAGCUGGGAUUACAGGUAAUACAGAGAACACCACAAAGAUAUUCCUCAAGAAGAGCAACCCCAAGGCACAUAAUCGUUAGAUUCACCAGGAUUGA
rnacentral:lncRNA from 13 species